rnacentral:rRNA from 1 species
CUACGGGAGGCAGCAGUAGGGAAUCUUAGACAAUGGGGGCAACCCUGAUCUAGCCAUGCCGCGUGUGUGAUGAAGGCCCUAGGGUCGUAAAGCACUUUCGCCAGAGAUGAUAAUGACAGUAUCUGGUAAAGAAACCCCGGCUAACUCCGUGCCAGCAGCCGCGGUAAUACGGAGGGGGUUAGCGUUGUUCGGAAUUACUGGGCGUAAAGCGCGCGUAGGCGGACCAGAAAGUUGGGGGUGAAAUCCCGGGGCUCAACCCCGGAACGGCCUCCAAAACUCCUGGUCUUGAGUUCGAGAGAGGUGAGUGGAAUUCCGAGUGUAGAGGUGAAAUUCGUAGAUAUUCGGAGGAACACCAGUGGCGAAGGCGGCUCACUGGCUCGAUACUGACGCUGAGGUGCGAAAGUGUGGGGAGCAAACAGGAUUAGAUACCCUGGUAGUCCACACCGUAAACGAUGAAUGCCAGUCGUCGGGUAGCAUGCUGCUCGGUGACACACCUAACGGAUUAAGCAUUCCGCCUGGGGAGUACGGUCGCAAGAUUAAAACUCAAAGGAAUUGACGGA